AGAAUAUUCCAACACUCGUGCAUAUUACUUUGUGAAAUUUAAAAGAAAUCCGAAAGAAAAUCCUCUGAGUCAGUUUUUAGAAGGUGAAAUAUUAUCAGCUUCUAAGAUGCUGUCAAAGUUUAGGAAAAUCAUUAAGGAAGAAAUUAACAACAUUAAAGAUACAGAUGUCAUCAUGAAGAGGAAAAGAGGAGGGAGCCCUGCUGUAACACUUCUUAUUAGUGAAAAAAUAUCUGUGGAUAUAACCCUGGCUUUGGAAUCAAAAAGUAGCUGGCCUGCUAGCACCCAAGAAGGCCUGCCCAUUAAAAACUGGCUUUCAGCAAAAGUUAGGAAGCAACUAAGACUAAAGCCAUUUUACCUUGUACCCAAGCAUGCAAAGGAAGGAAAUGGUUUCCAAGGUAUUUUAAAUAUUAAAGUUAACUUAAAGACAUAAAAGAGUUGUUAAUGUUAUAUGUUCAGGCGGUAUAAGAUCAACAGCCAACCAAUGCUGUUGUCAUUUCAAGAGCCAUCAGGCAAAAUAGGUUAUAAGAUGGGAGUCUGGUGACAGACAGAAUUGAAAAGGGCAAAGUUGUAGUAUUAAUAUCAAAUACUCAGCUUUAAAAUGUCUAGCAAUCCAUAUUUGAAUUUUAUUUUAUUUUUUUUCGGUAAAGAAAAGCAGUAUUGGCCUUGGAGUCAGACUGCCCUGGUUCUGAAUCCUGAGGCUCCUUCUACUAGUUGUGUGAAUUCGAGCUAGUUAUGAUGCUUUCUAAACCCAUUUGCUCAUCUGUACACUGUGUUAACCAAAAGUACUUGAAAAAUUCUGGAAAGAUAAAAUGUGCAUGCAGUUCUGUGGCCAAUUCUGUUCAUGCCAGUUAUACGUUGUUAC
rnacentral:sRNA from 1 species